rnacentral:rRNA from 1 species
UACGGAGGGUGCAAGCGUUGUUCGGAUUUACUGGGCGUAAAGCGCGCGCAGGUGGGUGAACAAGUCGGAAGUGAAAUCUUGAGGCUCAACCUCGAGGCUGCUCCCGAAACUGUUCGCCUAGGGACUGGUAGAGGCUGGUAGAAUUCCCGGGUGUAGCGGUGGAAUGCGUAGAGAUCGGGAAGAAUACCUGUGGCGAAGGCGGCCAGCUGGGCCAGAUCCGACACUGAGGCGCGAAAGCGUGGGGAGCAAACAGGGAUUAAGAAACCCUG